rnacentral:rRNA from 1 species
GCCUUCGGGUUGUAAAGCCCUUUACUGGGGGACGAGAACGGACGGUACCCUGGGAAUAACCGUCGGCUAACUACGUGCCAGCAGCCGCGGUAAGACUUAGGACGCGAGCGUUAUCCGGAUUUACUGGGCGUAAAGCGCCUGUAGGCGGUUAGAUAAGUCGGAUGUGAAAGCCCCGUGCUCAACGCAUGGACUCCAUUCGAUACUGUAUAACUUGAGAGCGGCAGAGGGAAACGGAAUUUCUGGUGUAGUGGUCAACUGCGCAGAGAUCAGAAGGAACACCGAUGGCGAAGGCAGUUUCCUAUGCCGUAUCUGACGCUGAGAGGCGAAAGCUAGGGGAGCGAACAGGAUUAGAGACCCUGGUAGUCCUAGCUGUAAACGCUGGAUGCUAGGUGUGGGCCGGAAAGGUCCGUGCCGGAGUUAACGCAAUAGGCAUCCCGCCUGGGGAGUACGCCCGCAAGGCUUAAACUCAAACGAAUUGACGGGGACCCGCACAAGCAGCGGAGCGUGUGCUUUAAUUCGAUGCUACACGAAGAACCUUACCUGGGUUUUACAUGUAGAUGGUAGUGAAGUGAAAGCGGAGCGACCCUUCGGGGAGCCUACACAGGUGCUGCAUGGCUGUCGUCAGCUCGUG